rnacentral:misc_RNA from 1 species
GAUGAAGAACGUAGCGAAAUGCGAUACUUGGUGUGAAUUGCAGAAUCCCGUGAACCAUCGAGUCUUUGAACGCAAGUUGCGCCCGAAGCCACUAGGCCGAGGGCACGCCUGCCUGGGCGUCACACGCCGUUGCCCCCCCAUCUACUCCUUCGGGAUUGCGGGGUGGCGGAUGAUGGCCUCCCGUGCGCCUAGCCGCGCGGUUGGCAUAAAUACCAAGUCCUCGGCGACGCACGCCACGACAAUCGGUGGUUGCGAAACCUCGGUUGCCCGUCGUGUGCGUUCGUCGCGCAUCGAGGGCUCGAAAAAAUGCUCGGCUCCGGCUGGGCUUUCAACGCGACCCCAGGUCAGGCGGGGUUACCCGCUGAAUUUAAGCAUAUCAAUAAGCGGAGGA